GUUAGUCGUAGUCUUCUCGGUGAGUUGAUCAGAAGGUUGCGUGAAUCACUUCAAAUUUUCAGCCUCAGUUUUUACCACAAAUUACCAUAGAAAAACUGCAAUUCUGAAGAUGAUAUUUAUAUUCAUCAUCAAUGUUAUAUUUGUUGUGCCAGCGCUGAUUUCUGGUUGUGCUGCCGGAAAGAUGAAUUACAGGAAAGAAGACCUGGUGACAAUGGCAGAAUCAAAUGGAAACUUAUCCCCUGCUUUAGAUGUAAUAAUCAAUAACGGAGGAUUUAGUCAGAUUGGUGGUACAUCUUACGGUGGGGGAGUAUCAAACGGGCAAGGAAAUAGUAACAGCGGCGGAGGGACUGUCGAUUUUGGCCCAGAAACUGCAGCUUACUAUGAAAGUACUGUCAAAGUCUUUCCAAACUGUGAUUUUCCUGCGAAUGACAUCAGCAACCAAACAAGUUUUGAAAAGGAUUGCAGCAGCAUCUGUUUCGCUAAUUUCCAAUGCAACGCGUUCAGUUGGCGCGAUGGAAACUGUCACUUGAAAAUUAUCCCAUCACCAAAUCUUCGUCAACCGGCGAAUGGCGGCAUUUGCGGAUUCCUCCCCUGGAAAUUUUAAUUUUGAAACAUUUAAAUGUUAGUGGCAUAAGAUAUUGUUGUACUCCAUUUAGCACUGGUAUGCGACCUAAUGUACUUUUUGUGGUUCAUCGAAUACUUUGCGAUGGACCUCGAGUGGCUUUCCCCUUGUAUGAUUGCACCCUCAACCUAAUGGAAUAAAAUCCUAAUAAAUUACAACAA